AAGAUGGCGACCGGCGCACGGGUGAGUAACACGUAUCCAACCUGCCGAUAACUCGGGGAUAGCCUUUCGAAAGAAAGAUUAAUACCCGAUGGUAUAAUCAGACCGCAUGGUUUGAUUAUUAAAGAAUUUCGGUUAUCGAUGGGGAUGCGUUCCAUUAGGCAGUUGGUGAGGUAACGGCUCACCAAACCUUCGAUGGAUAGGGGUUCUGAGAGGAAGGUCCCCCACAUUGGAACUGAGACACGGUCCAA
rnacentral:rRNA from 1 species